UGGGCCUACGGGAGGCAGCAGCGAGGAAUAUUGGUCAAUGGGCUUACGCCUGAACCAGCCAAGUCGCGUGAGGGAAGACUGCCCUAUGGGUUGUAAACCUCUUUUGUCAGGGAGCAACGCCGGCUACGUGUAGCCGGACUGAGAGUACCUGAAGAAAAAGCAUCGGCUAACUCCGUGCCAGCAGCCGCGGUAAUACGGAGGAUGCGAGCGCUAUCCGGCUUUACUGGGUGUAAAGGGAGCGAAGGCGGCGCGUUAAGUCUGAUGUGAAA
rnacentral:rRNA from 1 species